GCUGAAACGACAAGAGCAAAAAGGUAAAAUAAAAAAAAUAGGCGAAAACUUUGCAAAAGUUUCAGAGAAGAGCUUGGUUAAAAUAGCAGAAUAAUUUUGAAAUUAAUGAAGUUAAUUUAAAUAUAAAUAAAGAAAUAAGCAACUACACUGCUUGUUUCAUAGCAUAUACCAAAUAAAAAAGUUCUUUGUGAUGCUUCUAUAAAGGCAGGUCUUUCAGCUGAGAACUGAAUACCUGCAAGGGUCAUCAGGCCACUGUGUGUAGAAAAUUCCUUAGUCCUUCUUCAAUAAAGAUUAAAGGAAUAUUUUUUCCUCCACUUCCAAGGGAAGGUAGUUUUUUCUUUGUCCUCACACAGAAAUCACUCUCUGUACCACUGAAGCACACCAAAGACUGUUCUAAUAAAAAAAACCCUGAAAAUGAAACUGGAAAGAAUAUACUAUGAGCUCUGCACAAAGGACUAAUAACAGAAAAAUAUCCCUGCUUCAACUGAUUCUUCUUGAACUCACCUUAUGCACUAUGGACUUUGAUUCUGACAACAGACAGAGCUUUUCUUUACCCUAUUUUAUCAGUAUUUUGUUUCUUAUCUCUUUAUGACAUUCUUUGCUAAAGAAAACAUCUUGUUUAUGUGUUUAGCUCAUUUUCUAGCUUUGUUUUUGAUAAUCCAUCUCUUUGUCACAACAUCUUUAUCUUAAACUCCUCUUGCAUUAGCCCCUUGCAUUAGUCCUGUGACUAGGAGUUCAGCAUGCAUACUCUUAGUGAUCUCAGGUUUGCCUGUCAUAGUUUUUGGCUGUUCACAUUUACUGGGAUGCCAUCUCCAGUUCCAAUUCCUGACAAUGUGCCUUUCACUUUCUGAAUGCAAACGGUGCUGCUUUGUAUGUUGGGACUGUUUAUGCCUUUGGUAAAUAUUUGGGUGCUGCUCCCUUCAAAACUCCCAUGUGUUCUAAUAUUGUGACUUGAGAGAGCUUGUGCUAGGAUUGAGGUGCUCACAACUCUCCUAUUUCUCAUUGAUACUUGCUGCAUGAGGCUUCUAUGUCACAUUCAUCUUGUGGAAACCUGAACUUUGCCAGAAUUGCUCCCCAAACCUAUUAAUCCCCUAUGGCAGUCAAGCUUUGCUGCUGUGCAAUAGGGUUUGGAA